GUUUGAUACUAUCACGAUCCGUUUUUCUUCGCGAUUGUGCAGUAGCAAACGUUUCAUUUGGCUUUCAACUAACGCAAGAUGCACGUUAAAAUGGAGCUGAUAUUUAUAAGAUCUGCUCUUGAAGAACGACGGUCAUCGACUGACCUAAAGCUGAUUUCUCUUCGAAAAAGCACAAUGCAUGGAAUGUCUAAGACGUCGUAGAUCGACGAUGAUCGUGCAAUUGAUAUAUAACUUCGAUGUGUUCACACACGAUGCGUACCGCGAUUGUGUCACCCGAUCCAACGAGACAAUCAGGUCUUUAUAUACGCACUGCACUAUCAUGGAGACUGUGUUCAAAAUUUAACGCUUAUGAUUGUUCGCGGCAAGAGUAAAAAAAGAAAUUUUUUUUUAUUUUGAUCAUCCAAUUAAAUUGUAUAUAAUUACCUGCGAAGAUGUGCUAUCUUAUGUUCCACAGCUACUCUGAUAUCAUCUUCAUCCCAGUCAAAUUGUUCCGAAUGAUAUCUAUGUAGAUGGUUCCGAAUUUUUCGAAAUAUUCGUCUAUAAUGAAUCCGCCGUAAUACUCGAUGUCUUCUUGGACAUCCUCUUAAUGUACAUCUUAUUUUGAAAAACUCGUUAUCAAGUAAUUCAAAUAUUAAAGAUUCGGACAACCAAAUGUCCAGAGGGUUUACUCUCAAUGAAUGCUGCUGAACGUAAAUUUAUUGUUAUCUACGAAUUCCCAUAGAUUUAAAGGAUUAUGAAAAUCUGCUGUAAAGGUUGAGAAUAUUUGGUUUUUAUUUUGCUGUAUUUUCAAGUUGUUUAAUUAAGGAUGAUAAAUGCCGAGUACAUCUGUUUAGGUUUCUCUUAUGGUGAGGACUACAUGUGUUUUGCCAGUUUACGUAGUCUUCUACAUUCAGCAAUUUUUUUCUCUUAUUAAAAGGGGAUACUGAUUAGUGGUUGGCUUCUGAAAUGUCAUGGGUGGUUUAAAAAUUCAAGUUGCAUUUUGGACAGUUUUAUUUAAAUGUUCAACUGCCAAUUCUAUUUUGGACAGGGUCUUGAGCGGUAGAUUAAGUUUGACUGUAGAUUCAAUGAUUUUCCCCACUUGUUAGUAUGUUUAUUUGCUAAAGUAAGUCCGAAGGGUUUGAUACAGCAAUGCUGCUUAAUGUGAGUAGGUGAAUGGUUUGAAGAUAGGUCUGUUGCAGGCUUUACGUGUAGAUAGUUGGAAGCAGUAUUUUUAGUGAUAAAGAAAUCCAGAAGAUCUGAUAUUUUAAAAGAUGUUAGUUAAAAUAAUUAAGUUUAUAUAAAAAAAAGGGCACAUAACAAAAUCUCUCGAUCAUCGACCGAACUCCUUUAGGCUUCCAAGCUUCGUCAUAUGUCGCAUGAAACUUAUUGUCGUAAACGUCUGCGACACGUGACGUCGGGCAAAAGAUGAAGUAAAUAAGGGGAAAUUAGCGAUGUCAGUAUAGUAAAGAAUUUAUAAAACAAUAUCACACACUUUACGCUAAGAUGUAAGAAUAAUACAUGAUAUUAAUCCAUCUUGACGUGUAAUUAAGUUGGCUAUAUAUACUAAUUAUAUAUACAUUUACGAGUUUAAGCGAGGGUUUGGAAGAAACCGCUACUUCCAGAUAUCAUCUAUACUGCGACUGCGAAUAUAUUCCUUCACUUAAGCGACACGCGGAAGCGCGACGAUACUCUCUAAAUCUGAAUCAGUGCAUAGUCAUAAUUAUAUUUAUUUUUGCGCCAAUUUAAUUUGAUCUUUCAUAGCCUAUCCAUUCACAUUUAUUAAUAAUAUAACAUUGUAUUGCUUGAAAUAUUUGAAAUAUUGUACAUAUGCGUGUAUAUGUGGAAUCUUGUGUGUGCGAAUACAAUGGAUUAUGCGCCCCUUCACGAAAUACCCCGCGGGGAAUAAUUUAAUAGUAAUGAUUUCCCCCAAAGUGAAAAAAGACUAAGAAGAAUCGUAGUGCGCAAAUAUUUUAACAAUUAAAUCGGUGCGGUAGAUUCGAUGUCAUUAUCUUACGCAAUAACAAUUUUCUUCCAUGAUUUCGAUGCCAGCAAGAAUAUUAGAAUUUGAAUAAAUUCAAAUUACGAUUGGAGAAAUUUAUAAGUUGAAAUUUGAAAUUUACGAAACAAUGAUAACAUUUUUUUCUUUUGUAUAAAGUUAACUGUUUAAUUAAUUAAAUUGAAUACAACUAUAAAUAUCAUAGUAAGAGACCAAUUAUUUCAAUAUCGAAAUUAUCCGACUAAAUUGAUCAUUUUUAGUAAUCAAUAUGCAACAUGUGUAAAGAAAAAUUGUUAAUUUCAUGAAAUUUUAAUUUUACAUUAAACUUUAUAUUGUUUCUUUAGUUUGUUUGUAAUAUGAUUCUCGAGAUAUUUUUUAUAGAAAAAUUAAACAGCUUAAAUAAUCAAUGAGAAAUAUAUGUUCUUUAUCUUCUCGGGAUAAUUGGUAUCUUAUUUCACUGUAUAGGUACUGUAUAGGUACUGUAAGUUGGAUGUUCUAUUAAAUUUAAUUAAUUAGCUUUUGUAUAUAUUAGAACUUCUGCCGCUUCUAAAUUACAUAUAUAUUACGUAUAUUUCUAUAAAUUAAAUAUUAUAUAAAACAUCGCGAAAGUAUGUCACAGGUAAUCAAUGAAAUUCAACUUUAUUGACUCUCGAAAAUUACUAAUAAAUAAGUGAAUAGUCGCUAUAAUCAUUGACAUGCAAAUUAGUGGACUUUGCUGUACUCGCUAAUUGCACAGCAGGAUUCGGCUCUGUUUUUUCACUUAUUUAUUAACAAUGCAAGGCGUUAAGUUAGAUUAGAUUAUAACUACUGGCUGAAUCAGUCACUUUUCAGAGAUUUUUCACUAAUUCAGAUUUAGAGAGUAUCUUUGAUGAAGGAACUUAAUCGCGGGUGAGCCGCGAGGUUCCGUCUCUCCGUAGGGAGAGGAUGUCGAGGAGAAGACUUUUUUCUCUCUCCCCCUCGGCUUACCGCCUAUCAGGGUUCACUGCAACGUGGGAACAAUAUAGAUUGUGUAAUGACGCGUGCGACAGAUUUUUCGCGCGAGAGCGUCGUCGCGGGGAUUAUCCGGAGCAUUCUGCAAACGUCAGGGCCUUAUCGGGUCAAUUUUAGAGAAAGAGAGAGCAGAAUCUUCGCUUCUUUCCAUUAUCGCAAUUCGCUGCUACGCGAAAGCACGUGUGCCUCGUCGCUACCGAACUUUCGCAACUUCGCGUCACUGGACCAAUCGUCAUAGGAAGGAGGGGCCAGAAUAUAUAAAAAUCGUGAUUAUAAAUCAAACGCUUCAUCUCUUAUCCCAACAUUAUUGACAGCUAUUAGAACGCAGCUAACAUAUAUGUUAAAUUCCUGAAGAUUCUCGUUUCAAUAUCCGAGAUAGAUUAAAUCGAAUAAAAAUUAAUUUAGCAAUAAUUCUAAUGUAUUAUGACUUAAAAGAUCAAACAUCGAGACGUAAAAUAUCGCUAGGCGCUUACUAUUUUAUCAACAGUCGAAGGAGAGAUUUUAAUAUUACGAUAGUAUUUUAAUACACCCGCUUCUUCUAUUUGCGAAAAUCAAUUGUUUAAUCACAUUUCUUGAAGAGAGCUUUUUCACGCGUCAUAACAUUAUUUGUAAUUACAGGGUAAAAUAAAGAUAGCGAGCAAAGUUGUACAUAUCCUUGUAAUCCCAAAAAGUACGAUUUCUAUACCUUUCUAAUGCUUUGAAUUCUUGAUAUCAUCACACACGCGCGCGCGGGUAAUUUACAAACUGUGAAGUUCGGGGACCAAUCGAACCAGAUCACACGCGCUUACUUUUGCUCGCGGACAACAAUUUUUAUAGGAUACACUUGCACUGCAUGACAAAUCGCGGAACCCACUUGCCAGUCCCUCACUUAAUGAUCGACUGGGACAUAUCAAUAUCGAUUAAAUUUUACUUUUAGCUCUAAAUGACGAAAUCGUGAGAAUUUAAUAAGAAUAAGAUGUACGUAUCUCUGUUCAAUUAAUAGUCCUUCGUAUAUACACAUCAUAUCUCACUCAUUAAUAUCCUAAUUCUUUACCUGCAGUUUAAUAAAGUGCAAGUGUCCGAAACAAUAUAAGGAUAUUAAUGUAAGCUUUUAAUACAUAGUUAAAUUGCGAAUACCAAUACAGAAGUUUAUUUCAGAAACUGAUAUUUUUAACAUGGCGCACAUGAAGCACAAGUAUAUAGAAUUAAAUUUGGGACCUCGGUAAAAGCUUUUCGAUAAAACGAUAUAUAUUUUAAUACCUUCACCUCCGAAAAAUAAAUUUCAUGCGAUUUUAAAUGUUAUAAAUAUCAGUACUGAAAUCUGGCUUACUAAAUGUCAGUCAUCGCCUUACUAUACACGACUUUCUCAGACUCUUGAACGCCUAGCGUUAGUGUUCGAUUAUCUAUUUACUUGAUGUUUCCACAAAUUACAGCGCGCGAGAGUUGUGCGAACGGGACACAUCGAAAUAUUAUAACUGAUCUCAGCCUCUUCAAUCCCGCCGUCAUUAAGGUGUAGCUCUUAUCGCAUCUGAUAGUUAUACAUCGGGUAUUGUAUCUUAAUAUAUUACUAUAGAUCUUCAGAAUAAUCGCAGAAUGCUCCGAAUCGGUAAUCCCCAGAUUGGUAGUCCCUCCCCAGAGGAAUUCUCGCGCGAACGCUGUCGCGCGUGUUAACCGGGCUACAAUGUAACGGAUGAGCGAGCGAGCGCGUUUAUACGUAAACUGCGUGAGAAAAAUCGAUUUAAAAAAAGAAAAGAAAUCUCAACUUUCCCGCGAUCGCCGCCGAUUAUCGUGCAUCCUCCUCGUUAUCUCGCCCAUUGAUUCGCCACGGGCUGCGUCCCCCCUGCGACCAAACGGCAAAAUUGUAUGUACGUUCCUUUCUCUCGUAACACACUCGUGUAAAUAAUAUCAUGACCAAGCGUAAAAUAAUAAUUGUAAAACACACUCCAUGCGGACGACGCUUCUUAUCCUUAGAACACGUCUCAGAACGUCUAAAAUCUUCUUACAUAGCGCAUCGAGUUGAACGUUCGAUCUUCCUCGUACAUUGAAUGACGCGUGAGUAACAUGCAAAUUUAAAUGUCUCAAUCCAAAAAAAUUACAUUAUACAGCUUUCAAGCAAGACAAAUAGAAUGUAUUAAAAAAUUAAUUUCAUAUUCCUCGUGUGUAUAUACGAAUGAGACAAUUUGCAUAUUCCGUUCCGCUCGAAAGAUCUUGGAAUCGAUUCUGUUAGCAGAAAAUCUCAAAUUAAAAAAAUAUAUAGUAAUCUUUAUUUUCCAUUUUAAAAAAAAAGGAAAAUAACGAUUAAUUUUCUUUUGCUGCAUGACAAGGAUUACUAUAGUGUCUGCGUCGCGUAAUCUCUCGAGAUUUUGGUGUCGAGAAGGCAAUGCAUAGAGUGUGUCGAGUACAUCGUAUGGAGACUUGGAACCAGGCUUGACAACGCGGCUUGACAACCGCCUAACAACAAUUGUAUACUCAAAUAUAUAUCGCAUAUGUACAUAUACGCAUACGUAAUUACGUGUAUCUAUAAAUAUUUCGCAUACUAUACACGCUAAUCGACGAAGGGGCGACGGCGCAAUGGUUUCAAUUUCACCAGAGUAUUAUUUUUAAGAAAAAAUAUCUAACGAAGAAGUCUAUGCCGAGAUCCAUUUGUGUCCUAUUUGAUUUACAUCUUUUUCUUCUCUUUUCUGAAACUUUUAAAGCUCGAAAUAUUUGCCUUCAACAUGAGAAACACUAAUCUUUACAUAUGCUUUAUAAAAACAGGUGCAAAUAUAAAAUUCUAAGAACACUGAAUAUGCGAAAUUUUUCAUGAUGGCAUCAUGAUUAAAUCUUAAUUCACAACUAAGGAGCUCGUAAAGUUUCGCGAGAUUAUAGAGUUUCGCGAGAUUAGAGUAUAGUAUAGAACGUUUCUUUCGAAAGAUUAUUCGAUUAACCGCUCUCAAGAAAGAUUAACCGAUUAGAUUAUCUGAAAACGGGUUGUGCCGAACUCUGAAUAUUUAUGCAAUAAAUGUAAUAACUUUACAGCACGUGAUACUUCAAAUUGUAAAAGUGAUAACUCGCGAUUCUCGGCACUUUAGAUAGAAAUUUAAAAUACCAACGGAAUAAAAGAAGCAUUCUGAUAACAUAUCUCCGGAUAACAAACUGAUAGUAAAAAAAUGGAUCGAAGCAUGGGCUUUGUACACGCGUACACAAACACACGUACCUGCACGCGCGCGCGUGCGAAGGAACCGAAGGAUUCAAUUACCUCCAAACAUUGAUAAUUAUAGCUUUAAACGAUGAGACCAAAUAAUUAACGAAGAGUCCAUAUUCUCUUACGCAAAAAGGGCAGUUCUUAGUGAAACCCGAAUUAAGCAAUUUUUGCAAAGGAAAGAUAUAAAUAUAUAUCCGUCUAUUGUUACUGUAUCCUCUGUAUGUAUGUACAUAUAUAAAACGAAGAUAUCUAUA